AAUAAAUAGUCUUGAAAAGAGUGCCAAAUCCUGUUUGAGAGAAACCAAUUUCUGUUUUGGUUUUGAUACUGUCCUCCUGGUUGAAGUACCGAACACCUGCAGCUUAUUUCUUGGUAUGAAGCAGCACUUCAUCACAUGAAUUGUGUAAAGUAAAUAAUUGUAUAGCACUUGGAAUUGCUGAUUUGCAUUUUGGUUCAUAUUUUGUAUUUUAAAGUUGGUAUAAAUGAUUCUUGAUUGGGAAUUGGAGCAUUUAGUAAAAUGGGGUUUUGUCUUUCAGAUCCUGUGAAGGAGAAUAUUGAGACUUCAGGGUCAGAUGGGUGUAAAUGAGUAGGAUGAAGUUGAUUGAAAAGGCCUCUUUACUUACCUGUCUGGUGCCCUCUCCAGGGAGUUCAGGCAAAACUUUUCUUAGCCUGGAUCCCAU